CCUACGGGAGGCAGCAGUGGGGAAUAUUGCACAAUGGGGGAAACCCUGAUGCAGCAACGCCGCGUGAGUGAUGACGGCCUUCGGGUUGGAAAGCUCUGUCUUCAGGGACGAGAAGGACGGUACCUGAGGAGGAAGCCACGGCUAACUACGGGCCAGAAGCCGCGGUAAGACGUAGGUGGCGAGCGUUGGCCGGAUUUACUGGGCGUAAAGGGAGCGUAGGCGGGGUUUGCAGUGAGAUGUUAAAUACUCGGGCUCCACGUGAGUCCUGCAUUUCAAACUGUCAGUCUAGAGUGCAGGAGAGGCGACUGGCAUUCCUAGUGUAGCGGUGAAAUGCGUCGAGAUUAGGAAGAACUCCAGUUGCGAAGGCGAUUCUCUGGACUGUACCUGCCGCUGAGGCUCGAAAGCGUGGGUAGCCAACAGGAUUAGAUACCCCAGUAGUC
rnacentral:rRNA from 1 species